GAUGAAGCCCUUCGGGGUGGAUUAGUGGCGAACGGGUGAGUAACACGUGGGCAAUCUGCCCUGCACUCUGGGACAAGCCCUGGAAACGGGGUCUAAUACCGGAUACGAGCCUCCAGGGCAUCUUGGAGGUUGGAAAGCUCCGGCGGUGCAGGAUGAGCCCGCGGCCUAUCAGCUUGUUGGUGAGGUAAUGGCUCACCAAGGCGACGACGGGUAGCCGGCCUGAGAGGGCGACCGGCCACACUGGGACUGAGACACGGCCCAGACUCCUACGGGAGGCAGCAGUGGGGAAUAUUGCACAAUGGGCGCAAGCCUGAUGCAGCGACGCCGCGUGAGGGAUGACGGCCUUCGGGUUGUAAACCUCUUUCAGCAGGGAAGAAGCGAGAGUGACGGUACCUGCAGAAGAAGCGCCGGCUAACUACGUGCCAGCAGCCGCGGUAAUACGUAGGGCGCGAGCGUUGUCCGGAAUUAUUGGGCGUAAAGAGCUCGUAGGCGGCUUGUCACGUCGGGUGUGAAAGACCGGGGCUUAACUCCGGUUCUGCAUUCGAUACGGGCUAGCUAGAGUUCGGUAGGGGAGAUCGGAAUUCCUGGUGUAGCGGUGAAAUGCGCAGAUAUCAGGAGGAACACCGGUGGCGAAGGCGGAUCUCUGGGCCGAUACUGACGCUGAGGAGCGAAAGCGUGGGGAGCGAACAGGAUUAGAUACCCUGGUAGUCCACGCCGUAAACGGUGGGCACUAGGUGUGGGCGACAUUCCACGUCGUCCGUGCCGCAGCUAACGCAUUAAGUGCCCCGCCUGGGGAGUAC
rnacentral:rRNA from 1 species